UACGUAGGGUGCGAGCGUUAAUCGGAAUUACUGGGCGUAAAGCGUGCGCAGGCGGCGCGUUAAGACAGGUGUGAAAGCCCCGAGCUUAACUUGGGAAUUGCGCUUGUGACUGGCGUGCUGGAGUGUGGCAGAGGGAGGUGGAAAUUCCACGUGUAGCAGUGAAAUGCGUAGAGAUGUGGAGGAACACCGGUGGCGAAGGCGGCGUUCUGGACUGCAACUGACACUGGAGAGACGAAGCCAGGGAGC
rnacentral:rRNA from 1 species